ACGUUUUCUCACGUGUCGUGCACGCGUGCAGUAUGCUUGAUGUAAUUUAAUGCGCAAUAAGGGAGCUUAAACUAAUUUUUCCAGUAGACCUCUCGUUCCCUCGUCUUCUUCCCUUCGCUCGGCCGUCGGAAAUGGCCGCCCUAUCGACGCUGUUCUUCGGUGUGAAGCAGCCGCCUCUAUUCCCCUCCUCCGCCGCCUUCCCUCUCUCCAAGCCCUUGUCUACUUCGAGAUCCCAACGGAGGAACCCCUUCUCUGCGUCGCUGGUGGUCAUCGCGGCUGUGACCAUCUCCAAAGCCCAUACCCGGGAGCGGGUGAGGCUCAAGUAGCUAUUCCGGGAGGCGCGAGAAAGGUGCCUCGUCGAUCCCAUGGACGGUGUCUUCUUCACCCUCGACGAUUUCCUCGCCGCCUUUGACAAGCACGACGGGUCCGAGCCCAAGUUGGUCCCAAGGUUGUUGGGCAAAAUAAAGGAGGUGUGGUGGUCAUCAUGGAGGGCCUUCAUGAGUGGCUUCUCGUACUUGAGGUGAUUGUAGACCCCUUCAUGCCAAUUGUACCCAUCAAGGAUCUAGACAUAGCAGGAUCCCACUGG